rnacentral:lncRNA from 1 species
UCUCUUAUUAUGGCAACGGCGCCCACCUAAGAAGUACCAGAGCUGAGUUCUGGUGAGUUCCAGCUGAAAAAAGCCCUGAUGGAUUGUAUCCUGAAUAUCUUUGUCUUUCUAGAAAUCCUAGAGAAUUUAUCUGUCAGCAAUGUGACCUCUCAGUCCUCUCUACUCUGGAUUUUACUCUCCAUAUUUCACAGAAUGCAAUGAAGCUGAAUGAUUCAGGGCAGAUAAGGUAAGGUACUUCUUCAUGCUGCACAGACUUAUAUUAUGGAACUUGCUUUCACAGGAGGCAGUAAUGGCCAUGAACUCUGAUGGCUUUGAAAGAGGAAUGGACUAAUUCAUGGAGGAGAAGGCUAUCAAUGACUACAAUCUCCAAUGGCAUCUGGGCAACUGUUGUGAGAACAGGUCACUGUGAGAUGGCCCACUGGCCUGAUCCAGCAGGCUCUUCUUAAGCUAUGUUCUUAAGCAUAGUAACUCUCAACAGAAAACAUGGUUUUCUAGUUUGCUUGUUGUUAACAAUAGGAACCCGCUAGGGUUUCUAACUGACCAGCAAAAAAUCUAGCCUGGUCUGUUCUAGUUGCUGUAUAACUGUAGCUUGUUCUACAAAAAUCAGCAGGCAAAAGUUGCAUGGUGCAAUGAUAGCAGGGGGGCAGUAAAAUAGUUGGCAACUUUAAAAACAACCAUGGAAAGCUUGGAUUUCAUUUGGGAAUGAGCAGAGAUUAUCCCAAGUUCCAAGUUCAAUACCCACAAACUCUUCUUUUUCAAGGCAAACAGAUUUACCUAGAUAAUUCAUCAGGCAAAACAUGCAGCCAAUGGACAUCCCUAUAAUUAUACUAUCAUUUAUCAAAGAUUUUCCCCUUCAUGUUCAGCCCUCAAUUAUAGUUCAUUCUUCAUUUCUGAGGCAGACACCACUAACAGCUAAGCAUGUUAAAACUCAAAACAGAAUCAUCCAUCACUUUUGUUCUUAAGCCAUUCAACGUGUAUUUGACAAGAUGAUCAUGAGUGAUGUUGGUGUUUUCUUUCCUGAAGCUGAUAAGAGAUUGGCAACAACUUCGCAGAGCACACUGGCCAAUGAACCAGGCUGUCAGAUGAUGAGAUAAGCUAAGAUGCUGCAUCUUACAGAGCUCAUGCAUGUAUACAGUGACAGCCAAUGUUACCAGUUGCAAGGGAACAAAUAGCUCUGGUGGAACAUAGGUAUUGUUCAUUCAAACCUGACCAGCCAAUUUUGAACAGUUCAAACAGUUUGCCACCAUCUACUCUGAUCCAUUUUUCUAUAUGAUACCUGUAAGUUUGCUUUUGCCUGGAUUGCUUUUUAAAUCUGAAGUCUUACUAAGCAUUUAUGUCUUUCAAAAGGCUAUGACAUGCAAGAUAAGAUUUGCAAGGCCUAAUAUACAUUCAUGUUCUUUGCAGGAAAAUCAGUUAAUUCAAAUAAAGUUUUAGUGCUCUGGUGCUUCCUAUCAAAAUGACAACUUCCAUUCCGCUCUGCUCUACAGCUUCAAACCCUUUUGUGGUUGCUAAUACCCAGUAAUGAUGAGGCCUCUAUUAAAUGGAAGAGUUGGAAUCUGUCUGGAACUGAGGUGAGUCCAUUUGGGCCUUGUAAAAUGGUUGUGGAAUGAAAUCUUUCUCUAGACACCAUGAGUGUUGAAUGACUUUUCACAGUAUUUGCAACCGGUUCUGCCAGGAAUGCUUGGUCCUCACAAAGUAUUGGUCAAACUCCUCACACCUCUCCAUUUCCAUUAUUCUGCUCCCUCUCUCCAGCCGGCAUGAAGAGAGCAGAUGAGUUCCCUGUCCCUGGUCCUAAUGCUGCCCCUUCCUCUGAAAAGCCACUCCUGAAAAUCAAAGGAGGGGAACUGUCCAGAACCAGGCUAUGCAGGCAACUCACCCGCUUGUACCACAAAAAAAUAGUUUUCUUCUCAAUCCAGAAUCAUUCGUGCUCAGCCUCAACAUGCUGCUUUCAAUCUAGAGCUCUGAAAAUGACUUGCAAGAAGUAAACCUAUGACGUAAGAUGGAACUAUAUCGAUCUCCCAUUGAAAAUGGCAGCCUGUGGCUGAAGUGGCUGUGCACCAAGCCUAAUUGAACUUGAAUUGGGGUAGGUGUGAAUCAGUCUUUCAGCAUGUCAUGGCUUUUUUCCUGGCCCAAGGACCCCACCCUGCUGUGUGGACUAAAAGCAGACAACUAAUGGCACCAGUUGCUUUAGUUCCUGUGCAAAGCAGCAUCACUGUCUAUGUAUGCAAAGCCGACCACAUGGGGACUGUGGAGCAGAAAAGGCAGCUCACUGUGGGAAGACUAUAAAUUCUGUAAUAACAGGGCCUUCCUCCUGGGCUUGGCCAUCUAUCAUGUAAAUAUUUUAGAGUCUGAGUUCAUCUCCUGGCUAGAGAGAUUUUCUGGCUGCUGUCCCAAACUGACGCAAUGCUCUCCAUGACUGGGACAUUUAUUACAUGUGCUGCAUUAGGCACUCAGUGCAUGUAGCAGUAAUCAGACCUGGAAGGGGAGGGGGGAAAGUUUAGGAAUAUAUGUAUUUUGAUGCUGUUCUGCUCUGUACAACCUAUGACAUCAUCUGAAGAAGGCCACACUCCGUAUAUCGUUCUCCUCUCCCUUCCCUUGCUCUUCCUCCUUCCUCCCCCUUUCCCUUCCCUCUCAACUGUUAUAAGAAAAAACUGCUCCUUUCCCCCUUAUGCUAGCAGUUUGUCAAACUGUCUUGCCUUUAUCUCAUCUUACACACACUUUGCAAAUAAGCACGGGGUGAUUGAUGUGCUGCUAACUUCUUUUUUAAAAAGAAGAAGUUGGGCUAAAUAAAGCAGCCCUCCCCAAAACCAGUGCUUUGUGGAAAUGUAAGGGGAAACCCAUCCAUCGCUCUGUGCAGUGUCUUAAAAAGUCUUAUCUCAGCAAAGAGAGCACAGGGCAGGAGGGGGGAAGGGGGAGAGAAGAGCCUUUUCCAGAUAAACAAAAAAGACCUCCAAAGUUCCCUUCUCUCGCACCACUACCACCUCUUUAACCUGACUGGGCGCCCCUAAAGGAAUUCACAAAAGCAUCUGUGACCCCCUCGGCCCUUUGUAAAAGUGUGCAUCCCCUCAAAAGAUCACGCCAGGGAAAAUCUUGCCUGCUUAAUUGCGCCCAAAUGUUGCCACCAUGGCUAUUACAGAAACCUGUUAAAAGUUUACUGCUGGCCUGUGCUGAUGGUGAACAGUAAAUCAACAGAUGAAUGAGAAACGUGUCAUAUUGACUCAUGUGGGAGCAGACAAUAGAGGCUGAACUUUCUACAUUAUUAUUACUGCUUUCCUUCUGCAGAGAUUAAGGAGUGGCUCUGCAAUUUGUCAUGCACAAGGAGGACGGAGAUAAUGAAGUGGGGGCUUAGGCAGGCAGACUUGGGAUGUUAACAAAUGCUAGCAGGUCUGAGUGACAACUCAGCAGCAAACAGAGCUUCUCUCUCUUUGUUUUACGGUUAUACUACAAAGGCUGUGUUCAGGCGGUGCUUUAUUCCCUCUUCCUGGCAUUUCUGUACCUGUUAAUUUUCACAUUUUAUGUGAUCUUUCUCAUGAUGUAAAAUCCAGUUCUGGAAAUCUAGUGGAAUGUAGUGGCAAUUUAGUGCUCAUUUCCAUGUUAGUUGUUUGGAGAAAAAAAUUGUUUGCAACCCUGGAAAUUCAGAAUAUUGGGGGCAGGUUUGCUUAUGUAACAAAUUUUGGGGCUAUAGUUUGGCAUACCUCCUAGUGAACCAUGAGGGAACAGAACUGUGCAUGUCCAGAUAGGGUGAAGGAGUUUGUUGUUGCAUCACACCAAUCCACUAACAUGAGUGAAAAGCUACAGUUCCACAAUGCAACAGGUACGGUAAAGGUAAAGGGACCCCUGACCAUUAAGUCCAGUCGUGGCCGACUAUGGGGUUGCAGCGCUCAUCUCGCUCUAUUGGCCAAGGGAGCCGGCGUACAGCUUCCGGGUCAUGUGGCCAGCGUGACUAAGCCACUUCUGGCGAACCAGAGCAGCACACGGAAACGCCGUUUACCCUUCCCCAGAGAGGUACCUAUUUAUCUACUUGCACUUUGACGUGCUUUCGAACUGCUAGGUUGGCAGAAGCAGGGACCGAACAACGGGAGCUCACCCCGUUGCAGGGAUUCGAACCGCUGACCUUCUGAUCAGCAAGUCCUAGGCUCUGUGGUUUAACCCACAGUGCCACCCGCGUCCCAAUGCAACAGGUACUGCCAUGCAAAAGGAACCAGUGAAAUUAAUGCAAUAAACCAGGGGUGGCCAACUCCCAAGAGACUGUGAUCUACUCACAGAGUUAAAGACUGUUAUCCCCUUUUUUGGGGUUCAAGUUAAAGUUGUUGAGCUUUUCUUAGGAAGGAGGAAGGCCCAUUUGGGGGGAGGGUUCGGGUCAAAGGGUUGUUGAGUUUUUUUCAGGGAGCUUUUUAGCUUUUUCGCUGAGGUUUUUUUAGGGGACCCACAGUUGUUCAGCUUCUUUGGGGAGAGCCAAUGAUCUACCAGUGAUCUACUGCAGACGUCCAGUGAUCUACCAGUAGAUCACGAUCUACCUGUUGGACAUGCCUGCAAUAAACCUCACAUCUGAAUGCAGCCAAAGUUAAAGCAGUCUCCCCUCCCCAGGUUUAUCUACUCAGUUUCUCCCUCUGUGGAAUCCCCUGGAUUUGAUAUUAAGCUCUUUAAAUACCUCUGCUGUGUCGGAUAGGAAGACACUGUGGCCUUUGUAUGCCUUUCAGCGUUAAAAAGAACACUCUGCAUUAUUGUAGUAAAGUGGGAGAAUGGUAAAAUAUGGUAAAAUAUGGCUGAUCCCAUAUUCUCCAUGUAUACUAGGUACAGUGGAUGUUCUCAUUGUAUCGUGCAGGCAUCUCAAUUUGCAAGCGCCAAGACCCAGCAGUCAAAACAGCCAACCAUCAGCUGACUGUCAGCACUUGCAGAUCAUAGCACAGCAUACGUCAAAGGCACACCAUGUAAGAAAUCAGGUGGAGGCCAGGUAGGCGUGGUUGAAAUGGCUUGGUGGGCCAGAUGGGGAGGCACGCCUGGAAUGCAGACUCCUCACCACUGAAUUAAGCCCCUAGACAUGUGAUGCACUCAGUGUUGAGAGUUAGUUCACAGUGAUCCCUUUGUCUUUCCUUAAGAAAUGUUGUGAGUCUGUCAAGCAUUCCAGAUGGCAGACAAACAAAACGUACGACACGAGAUAUCCAACGAAACUCACUUAAAAGGAAACAACCCAAACAGUUCAUAAAACAGCUGGAAGCCAGUUCAUUUAUAGGCAACUUUUAUGGUUAUAAAAGAUCAUCUGUUGGGACAAACUUUCUUAAGAUGACAAACUUCACACGAAAAUGCUGAUAAAUUUUCAGGGAGAUGGCACCCUCUAAAAAUCCGCAGAGUGGAGACAUGGGGAACCAACCUUAAAAUUAGGAAGGUGAGAAACUGGGAGAAACCAAAAUGGGCAAAUUGACCUAGCUGGGACUGAGUGUGUGUAAGGAGCAGCGGCUCCCUUCUUACCUAGAGUGCAGGGCCAAGGAAGGGACAGGGACUUGUUCUCCAGCUGCUGCUGCCUGGGCUGCUACUCACAGCUGGUGAGGGACAAAAUAAAAAUACGUGAAAGGAGAGCUUAUCCUCAUAAGAGGAUAACAUGUAAGCCAGCCAAGACAGAUCUAUCCCCUCCCCAAAUACCUUUCUUUAAAAGGGUCAUAUUCAUUGGGGAGAGCAGAUUUGGUCUUUAUUAGUAUUAUUUCCUUUAAGCUCCUGAAAAAGCAAACUUGAAAGCCAACUGAAUUGUGCCAGUACAUUCAAAUGGCAGAAUGUCUGUUUCCUUUUCAUUUGCAAUUUGGAGUGGCCACUGAGGAUGUGCUGGGCGCAGGGUGGGGUGGGGGGGGGAGAAUUAUUGGAUGUGUGAAAAAUGCUUUUAUGCUCAUAACCCCCUAAACUCUGCGAUUUGCCAGGAAUUUCUGGGGUUCUUGCCAAUGGCAAAAGAAUUCCCACCACCACCACAGAGGACACGACUUACUAGGAAAAUAUAUCUCUUUUCACAUUAGCUGAGUAUUACAGAAGUUUUAGUUAAAUUAUAUGCAUAAUUUUCCCUCUUAUGGGCAAGCUCUCAGCUGCCUUUUCCCUUUCAAGAUGGAAUGGUAGAAACUAUUCCACAUGGCUAAUGGAGUAUGGAAAAGCACCAGAAGGAAAAGUAGGUGGAGCAAUGGAUGUGUCACCGUCACGUACAACAUUUCAGCCACACAAAAUUCAGAGGGUUCUGUACACACACACACACACACACACACACACACACACACUUCCAGGCAAGCAAGAGGCAUUAUGGGAGUACAAAGACACAUUCCACCCAGGCAAAAGCACUUCAGGAGAAUGUGGAACAGGGUCAAUGGGGGUAUGACUUAGCUUGACUCCUGGGGGCCACAUACAGAGAACUGAAGGGCCACAUUUGACCUCUGACGUCUGGGGUUCCCUACUCUUGUUUUGUCUAACAGAGGGUGAUGUUAUUAUUGACAGAAUCAAUUUAUGAUAAUGUGUGGGACAAGAGCCCAUUGGGAAUCCUUAGAUCAGAGGUCGGCAACAUAAGGCCCAUGGGCCGGAAGCAGCCCAUGAGGGUCGCUUAACCGACCCAUGAGCUGCCCCUGAACCAAGCCGCCUGCUCGGCGAGACCCCUAAAUUGGGACAGCAUGGUGCGGGGACUCUCUUCUGCAGCACCGGAAAUAGCUUCUGUGCAUGCCUAGAUGCUGAAAAUCGCUUCUGCGAGGAUCUCCACAGGAGUGAUCCGGCCCUUGCCGACCCCUGCCUUAGAUGAAUCCCCCAAAACGAUUUUUAUUUGUGGUAAUGUAAGCAAAUCUAGGGACGCGGGUGGCGCUGUGGGUUAAACCACAGAGCCUAGGACUUGCCGAUCAGAAGGUCAGCAGUUCAAAUCCCAUUGCUCGGUCCCUGCUCCUGCCAACCUAGCAGUUCAAAGGCAUGUCAGAGUGCAAGUAGAUAACUACCUUCUGGCGGGAAGGUAAACGGCGUUUCCGUGUGCUGCUCUGGUUUGCCAGAAGCGGCUUAGUCAUGCUGGCCACAUGACCUGGAAGCUGUACACCGGCUCCCUCGGCCAAUAAAGCAAGAUGAGCGCCACAACCCCAGAGUUGGUCACGACUGGACCUAAUGGUCAGGGGUCCCUUUACCUUUUUAAGCAAAUCUAGGGUCCCUCAACAACCAUAAAACUUCUUUGUCUAGCAGAAAACUCAGGCCUGUCCUUGCUCAAGAUUCCCCCUAUUUCCCCCACCAUGAACAUUAUCCAAAGAUUAAAGCUUCAGAGCCAAAAAUCUCUUCAUUCGGUAAGACAUAUGCCAGCCGAUAUAAAGCCUUUUGAAAUUUCCUUGCUUUCAAUAGCAGGCAGUUUAGGAAAUGGUUAGCUCUCCAAAUAAAAUAAAUUUGGCGUCAAAUAAUGCUUACUACUUUGCUGCAUUGUGCCUAGUGAUGAUACUUGUUAUAUUUCUAGAGCACUUUUCCUGAGUGCUCUUAAGUGAUUUAUAUAAUAUUAUUUCAAUGAUGCUUUCAAGAAAACAUUGUUAGGUAAGCCGGGGCCAUUAGUUCCAUAUUACAGAUUGCAGGUGGUAGAGAUGGUGGCUUGCCUAAGGUUCCCCUGAUGAGUUCAUGCCUGAAUUUGAGAUGUACUCCCAGCAGGUCUGCAGUCCUUUCACUGGCUGGAGUAGAAGGAGGCGCCAGGAAAAUCACUGUACUGGCUCAGGAUCCAGCAGGUCCCAAGCCAUUUCACCCCCUCUGCCUGCAGAAUGCUCCAUUUCAGGGCUUUCUGUGGGUUGUUGUCCACCUGCAUUUUUGGCAGGGAGAAUAGGGAGUUCCACGGUAGCAGAAUGUUUCUGGUGCCACUGGCAGAGGCCAACAGAACUGGGCAGAGGGAUACCUCUGCCCAAAGGAAACAUCCCCUGCAUCGCAGAAAGGGGCUUUGGAUGGCAGCCUCAUUCUCUUAACCAUAACACUACACCCAGGGCUUUUUUCAGCUGGAACUCUCCGGAACUGAGUUCUGGCACCUCUUUUUCUAGAAAAAUAGCACUGAAUCAGCUUCUCUUAUGGUAUGCUAAUUUUAAUAUACAGAAAAGGUGUCUACAUUUCUCAUUUGCUAUAAAUAUUUUAUAUAACGUAUAGUAAAAUGUAACCUUGUCAGAGGCAAACUGAGCGCAUGGUAUUCAAAUCACUCUAAACCAAGAAAAACCAUUGAAAUUUCAUAUCUUCAGGCAUGAACUCACCAGGGAGACCUUCAUUGGUUUAAACCACCUGUAAGUAACUUCUGUUUAAAUGCAUUGCUUGGACUGUUAGAUGUUCCUCAGUCCUUGCGUGACCCUCUGUUCUUAAAGCAUUUACAUGGGAGCCGCUUCCUUUGACGCUGGAAUACUAUUGCUGCAAUGCGAACAUAAUGUUGUGUCUUGCUUAGCAAACCUUAAGUUUAAGCUGUAUUCAAACUAAGAAAUUUUCAAAGAUGGCAACCACUAUGUAAAACAAAAGCUAGAACAUGUGCAGGCUAAGAAGGUGAUGUUUCGGAAAUGAGAGUGAUCAUGCUCAGUGGCCAUGGAAUGCUGGCUAACAGUUGGAGGAGAAAAAUAUGGUAAAACAAGAAAGAAAGAGGAAUGGACUGGAUUUCCUAGAACAGGGUAUGGUUUACCAGCUAGAACCCUGAACAGAAGCACUCCACACUAUAACAGUCUAUGCAAGUUCCGUUUGUUAAUAUUACCUUUUAAAGUGAAGUAAUCUUUAAAGAAAUGUGCCUGUUUUACUGCAGAAGAGCAGUUGUCAUCCAUCAGCCUCAGGAGACAACAGGAGAGUGUGCCUUCAGGGGUAAAUUCAAACCAUUGGAGAGUUACAGUAGCUGUAGUGACCGAUAUGGGAGAGACAUGUUUUGUUGCAGCUGGGGCAGAUGAAGGCAUCCUGUUGUGCUGCUACAGGUGCACCAUGGCAUUUCUUCUCUCUUUGCUCCUCCCAGCAGUCAUUCUUCCUCUGGUCACUGUCUACCUCCAGGCACUGCUGUCGUCCGCAAGGGAUUCCCACACAGCGGAGUUGAUGUUGCCAGACUUCAUGUCAUGUUUACAGACACCUUUGUAAUACAGAGUUAGUCUGCCAAUGGGCCUGGUGCCUGAAGCCAGCUCCCCUUAGAGCACAUCCCUGGCAACCCCACGAUCUUCCAUUCUGUGGACAUGACCAAGCCAGCAUAGACGUCACUGAGACAUUCUGGAAAUGUGGGCUUGGGAGAACACAUAUUUGUUUGAGACUCUGCCCUGGCAAUUAACCUAAAAUCAUAAUUUUACCUAACCAAGGAGGAGGAGACAUUUUUCCUUUUUAUUCAUGUCAGUUAGUUCCUCGUCUAUAUAUUUUUUCAAGAGAAGCAUGGGGGGGGAGAACAGAAUCUGACACACAUUCUUCAGUGGAGAACAUUUCUUGGUUUCACAUAAUUCAGUUACCAUAUACUAUCUUGGAAACCACAAUAGCUAUAAAUAAUUUGACCACACUUUCCUCUUGAUAGUAUCUCUCAACACAUGCACAUGCCUGGAGAGAGAGAGAGAGAGAGAGAGAGAGAGAGAGAGAGAGAGAGAGAACAAACAGUCAGAUAUUUGUGAAAUGAGAUGAGAAUAUCAGAGUCUUUUGGUUGCGAGGCGCGUGAGGGCUAAACGGUCCCUGCCUAGAGUUUAUGCUUUUAUGCUCAACGCAGUUUCCUGACAGAGGCUGCGGAAGCAUGCACCUCUUUGAAGGCGCAAACUACCAAAAUGUCACCUGAAGGAAACAAAUAGCGCCACUCAUCCAGGCAAGGCUUGGGUGGAGUUAUUUCAGUCAGCCUUAACGAUGCUUUCAUGAUAAGCACCAGAGAAACUUGCUGAGCUCCCCAAAUUAGAUGAACCUGGUGGUUUUCAUGCUAAGCCAUAUUUGUGUGCUUCAGAUGUCUUUGACCAAUAAAUCAUGCUUUUUUAAAAAAAAGUUGACAGUAUACACACACACACAGGCAGAUAGGAAUGGGAAUGGGAAAGAAAUUUGUUUGCUUUACCUGUCAAAAUCACAAUUCUCAAACCAAUACGCAAACCCAAAGAGCGCCCUCUUUUUUAAAAUUUGUACUUCUCUGACCUUUGCAAUGCUGUUCUCCAGCCAAGGAAUGCAAAUGAGGAUGAGUUUAUUAGUGAAAAGUGCAUGCAAAAAUGCAUGCAUUAGUGACAAGAAUACAGAAAGAUGCUUUUAUUUAGCUGCAAAAAUGCCUGUAUUCAGCAACAAUUGCAGUGCUUUUUUUCUGGGGGGACGCAGGGGUAUGUAUACCCCUAAACAUUUUGUGAAUCUGAUGGGAGAAGAAACUAUUUUUUUUUAAAACUAUUUUUAAAAAAUAGUUUCUUCUCUAGCACUGGGAAUCAUCAGUUCCGUUGCUACCUCCGAUGGUGGCCUUUUAUCCAUUUACUGUAUUUAUUUUUCCCAAUUUGAACUAUAAAAUGAUGAUUUUCUCAAGUCAAAAUGAGAGUACCCUUAAGCAUUUUUUUAGAAAAAAAACACUAAACAAUUGCAUAAAAUAAUGUAGGUAUUAGGAGAAGUGUGCAAAUUUUGCAAAUGGAUGCAGAAAUGGGGCUGGAAGUGUAAUAGGAAAAAUGAGGAUUUAUAUAUUCCUACAGGCAGAUAAACAAUGACACUGUUACAUAACUGUAGCAAGCCUUUCUUUUCAUACGUGAAGUCUUCUGCUCCUCGUGACAACCAGGCUGCCCUGGUUCAGAGGAGUUCAGAGCACAUGACUUUGCAUGCAGAAGCAAGCUCUGGUGUGGACAAGCCCAUGGGCUGCCUGAAAAACAGUGUGCCCACAUUGGUGGCAUCUCAUUAAUGAAGCCCUUGAGAAAUUCUAAAGAUAUUAUCACUUGUUUGAUCUGAAGAAUGGUUGUUAACUGAGGACAGUCCUCCUCCAUCAUCCCUUUCAGGGUUAUUUCCUACGCUGCAAUUUCUUUGUUUGUUCGAAAGCUUCCCAUCUCUUGUAGGCAGAAAUUGCCACGAUAAAAGGUGUGACCUUGUCUAAUUUAUCUCUUUCAGUCUUUGGGACUAAAGAUGCCUGUAGCCGUUCAAACAAUGCAACCAUCCCAACAGCAGUGCCCUUCAAGAGCGCGAGCUUGUCUUUCAGUUGUGCUCUUUUGUGUGGCACAUUGUGUGAGCGCUGUUCAGCUUCUAUGACUAGCAGCUGAAUUCCCAGACUUGCCUACUCAAAAGUAAGUCCCGUCAUUGAGGUUCCUGGGGCUUACUCCCAAGUAAGUGUGUAUAGGAUCAAGGUCUUAAGGAUGGGAUCAUGCAGCCACUGAGACAGCUUAAAAAGUUAAAGAGCGAGGGCAGAGGAACCACCAUAUUUUCCGUCAAAAUAUUUAGGGGGAAAUGUUGAGUUGCUGAAGCAGAAGCACCCGCUUUGAGAAAGAAGGUUUGGCUCAUGCACAACAAAUGAACAAAAUCCGUGUGUUUAUUGCACAAUGUAACUUAACAUCUGGAAAUGUGGUAAGACAGAAGGGAAAGUGAUUCCAUGCAGAGCCAAUGUACUGCCUGUUGCAGAAUUCUGCCUUGGACAGCCAGCUCACCUAGGCAGAGAAUGAUGAGGGGUUUUAAAAUAUAUUUUUAAGGCACAUCCAGUUCUUUCUCAUUUCUGCAGCACACCUGAUGCCAAAAGGACAUUCAGUGUUUGAAGUACGAAAGAGCGGGCGAAGGAAGUGGGAAGGUUUUGUUUCAAAUUAGGGCAGACUUAUAGGCUGAGUAUGCAUGUUACAUUUAAAGCACAGUCAUGCUCCAAGGAAUCCUGGGAACUAUAGUUUUUUAAGGGUGGUGAGAGUUGUUAGCAUACCCCGAUUCCCCUCACAGAGCUAUGAUUCCCAGAGUGGUUUAACAACCAAGCCCUUUCCAUGAGGAACUGAGAAUUGUAGCUCUGGGAAGGGAACAGGUGUCUCCUCUCAGAACCCUUAACAAACGACAGCUCCCAGAAUUCUUUGAGGGAAGCCAUGAUGUGACGGGAAAGUUUCUUUUGCUGGACAGGUUGGGUCCUCAAGUGUUUUAUUUUUAUUUUCCCUGCCAGCAAAUGGUUAAUGAAUGGCAGCCUCUGAUUGGCCAGGGUUCCAGGAGAGGGGGUUGAAAAGGAGAGGAUUUGGAGAAACAGUGUUUUAGGUUGCGAUAGUGGUUGGGACUGAGGUAGCGAGAUAGGUUAGGAGUCAGGUUGGGAGAUAGGGAGUGAGAGGAGAGAGAGUUGGUUCUGGGUAGAAACAUCCACUCUGAGGAAUAUAUCACAAGCUAGAGAAAGGAGUCUCUGUGUGAAGGACAAUGUGUGGUGUCCUGUAAGAGUAAUAAGCCAGGAAUUAACUGGGAGACUGAGGCUGAGCCAGGAGAAGUAGAAUCUGGAAAGAUACAGUCUACUUAGGUCUCAUUCCAGUCAGGAGGGGAGAGAUUCUUCUACAAAAAGAGAAGACUCCCAAACCAGUUAAGAGG